GCCUUUGGCAGCAUCAGUUCGUCAUUUUCCGGAAGAAGUUACGAAAACAGCUUCGGUAAACGACUCGGCUUCUACAACAGGGAGACAUUCGGCGAGUUCAACGUAUUUCCCCAAGUACAGCCAGCGGAACCAGCGGGGAACAUAUCCCAAUACGACAAUACAGUGCCGGUGACGUGUGGGAGCUCCUUGUGGCAGAAUGGAUCUCAACAGGCAGGGAGCGAGGUGAAAGGCAGCCGUGGACAGUUCUCCUGGGAUUUCGUAGCUAACGAGCUGGAUUUAGAUAGAGAGUUCAAAAUACAACGACCUCGAUUACUUAGCCAACGAAACAUCGUCUUCCGGACCUCCAAAUCGCAAGACGACUUCUCCGUGUGAAUUCAACCAAAGAAAUCGGAGACCUCGAGAAUGUGUUGUUUGUCAUGCACCGACAUUUAAUGUAUUUGGUGUACAGAACAGGAAGUGAGAUCGUAUGGGGUGUUUUUUUUUUAUCCUAUGAGAGAUGGAUAUGCCUUAUGGGAGAUAACUCUCUUACAAAACUGUUAUAAAUUUUAUAUUAAUAU